GUAGCGACGUAGUCUACAAAAGCUACAAUUUGUCCCGCAUCGAUGUUACUCAAUGAUUUUUGUUUUACUUUCUCUAUCCUGAAACCUAGGCAGUCACACAGGGGUUCCAAGACCCACCUGCGUGAAAUCAAGUCAAAGGCUGCUGUCUCAUAAUAUGGCGAAGACGAGUCACUUGAAGGCCUAACUGCUCUUAUGAGGAGCAGUCUCGCCAUAGAAGACUGAAAGAAUGUAAGAUUAACUUCUUUGUGACCAAUAUGACUUGCUCAUUGAUACAUUUGCUAUGUCAAUAUGAGGUGCAUGGCGAAGUAUUUAAUUUAUUUGUCUCGCUUCUAGAAGCUGUAGAAACAACAGGGUGUUCUUUUUCAGGGUAUUCUUUUUUAUAGAACUGGACAGGUCAUUUAUUCGUUCCCUUUGUUUUUUUGUAGUGUCCUGCAGGAUGCUGUGUCCUGCAAUCCUGUGUGCUGUGCUACAGACGCGUGUGGAGGUCAACCCAAAAUGGGCACAGUCUCACCACAGAAGAGUGAAAGAGGAUCCUGGCAGGGAGACGGUAGUGUCCUGCAGGAUGGUGAUGGGCCAAUCUUACAAGAGACCACAGAACACUGAUAUAGUGUAAGAUUAUCCCUGUUGGGCUCAAUAGGU